rnacentral:rRNA from 1 species
ACUCAAAUGAAUAGACGGGGGCCCGCACAAGCGGUGGAACAUGUGGUUCAAUUCGACGCAACGCGAAGAACCUUACCUGGGCUCGAAGUGCUGCUGACCAGCGGUGGAAACAUCGCCUUCUCGCAAGAGACAGUAGUAGAGGUGCUGCAUGGCUGUCGUCAGCUCGUGCCGUGAGGUGUUGGGUUAAGUCCCGCAACGAGCGCAACCCUUACUCUUAGUUGCCACCCGCAAGGGGGAACUCUAAGAGGACUGCUCCGGAUAACGGAGAGGAAGGUGGGGAUGACGUCAAGUCAGCAUGGCCUUUAUGUCCAGGGCUACACACGUGUUACAAUGCAGGGUACAAACCGUCGCGAACCCGCGAGGGGGAGCUAAUCGGAAAAAAGCCUGCUCAGUUCGGACUGCAGUCUGCAACUCGACUGCACGAAGCCGGAAUCGCUAGUAAUGGCGUAUCAGAACGACGCCGUGAAUACGUUCCCGGGCCUUGUACACACCGCCCGU